UUAACUGUCAGUGGUAAAAAAUCAUCAGACUUUCUUCUGAGUUACCAGCUAGCGCUAGCUAGCUAGCUAGCUUGGUUGGUUGGCGGAAACCUCAAUAAGACAUUUCUAGGCAACCAAAGUGUUCCAAUUAACUUUGAAGAAGUGAAAACACCCAGUG